GGCUCGUUAGCUCAACUGAAUAGAGCAUCUGACUACGGAUCAGAAGGUUAUAGGUUUGAAUCCUAUACGAGUCACAA
rnacentral:tRNA from 1 species